UUUUAGAAAAUUUCAAAAGUCUUGAGUUCAUACAGAAAAUUAAUGGGUGUGAAAUCUAGAUGUUUGUUUUACGUUGUAAGACUUGAAUUUGAUAUCGUGUGAAGGGAUGCAAGUAGACUUAAAGUCAGUUGGUCAUUUUUAUAUAUUACUGACUAGUCUAACCAAGUUGGUCCACGAGGAGUACUUGUUCAAUGGGAAAAUGUGAAAAUUGAGAGGAAAGAUGGAGAGGAAAGAUGGGUCCACGUGACAAGAAGCAAAAGAAGUUGCCAACAAGUUUGUUAUCUUUUCUUUUAAUUUUUCCCUUCUUUUUUCAAUAUUGAUGACGCAACGCAUGUGGCAUUAUUUUGCCCAUCAAUCCCCGGAUAUAAUUUGGCCGCAAAAGGCAUACUUUCUUGUAGUCCCUACCGUUCAUUAGCCUAAUUUCAUACACUGUAACUUCUUCCAUGGCCUUGCAACCAACUCUUCCAUGGGUUUAUGAUGUGUUCUUGAGUUUUAGAGGUGAAGAUGUUCGACAAAACUUUAUUUCUCACCUAUAUGAUGCUUUGCGUAAAAAGGGAAUCAAUACUUACAUUGAUGAGCACCUUGAAAGAGGAAAGAAAAUUUCACCCGCACUUCUCAAAGCUAUUGAGGAGUCAAGGAUUUCGAUUAUCGUUCUUUCUAAAAACAAUGCAUCAUCCACGUGGUGUUUGGAGGAGCUAAUGAAGAUUCUCGAGUGCAGAGAAAUGAAACAACAAAUAGUUCUACCGGUGUUUUACAAAGUGCAUCCAUCGAUAUAGUUCGGAGACAAAAGAAAAAUUAUGGAGAGGCAUUGGCCAACUACAAAGACAAGUUGAAUGAUGAUACGAAGGUAGAUAGCUGGAAGGCUGCGCUAAAGGAAGUGGCCAAUUUGUCUGGGUUCCAUUUAAAGAAGGAUGGGAAUGAAUCUGAAUUUAUCCAUAGCAUCAUUCAACUGGUGGACUCAAAAAUAAUAAAUCAAACAUAUUUUGAGGUUGCCAAUCAUCCAAUUGGAGUGGUGUCUCGUGUUCAGCACGUAUAUUCCCUUUUAAGCAUCGGAGAGAAUCAUAUUGUACAUAUGGUAGGGAUCUUUGGAGUUGGGGGAAUUGGAAAGACAACUAUUGCCAAAGCGAUAUAUAAUAUAAUUUCUUCUAAAUUUGAAGGCAGUUGUUUCUUGGGAAACAUUAGAGAAACCUCAAAGAGCGAGUAUGGUCUGGUCCAAUUGCAAGAGACUCUUCUUUCUGAUAUCCUAGGAGCAUCUUCGGUUUGUAAUAUUGGCCACGUUGACAGAGGAAUCAAUGUGAUAAAGAAUAAACUUUGUCAUAAAAGAGUUCUUCUAAUUCUUGAUGAUGUGGAUGAUUGGGAACAAUUGAAAGCUUUGGCCGGAAAUCGUGAUUGGUUUGGUUCUGGAAGUAGAAUCAUUAUAACGACAAGGGAUAAAAAUCAAUUGAGUAACUAUGAAGUUGAUGCAACAUAUAAAGUGGAGGAAUUGAACCAUUAUGAAGCUCUAGAGCUAUUUAGUUUGUGUGCCUUUAAAAGAAAGAAACCACUUGAUAACUAUGUGGAACUUACACAACGUAUAAUACGUUAUGCUGGGGGCCUUCCUCUAGCUUUGGAAGUGCUUGGUUUGGAUCUACGUGGUAGAAGUAUACAUGAAUGGGAAAGUGCUUUGGAAGAGUACAAAAUAAUUCCUCACGGGAAGAUUCAAAAAAUACUUAGAAUGAGCUAUGAUGGUUUGCGUGAAAGUGAGAGAAAGAUUUUUCUUGACAUUGCAUGUUUCUUUAAGGGAGAUAAUGUAGAUUAUGUUGUGAAAAUAUUAGAUAGUUGUGGUUUAAGUCCAAAUAUUGGAAUAAAAAAACUGAUGGAUAAGUCUCUCAUUACCAUUGAUGAUUGUAAUAAAUUUGAGAUGCAUGACUUGCUACAAGAUAUAGGUAGAGAAAUUGUUCGAGAAGAAUCACCAAAAGAGCCCGGUGGACGCAGUAGAUUGUGGUAUCAUGAAGAUAUUCGUCAUGUACUUGAAGAAAAUACGGGAACAGACCAAAUAGAAGGCAUAUUGAUAGAUUUACCUAAAGAAGACUUUAUAUGUUUGAGUUCGGAGGCAUUCAUGAAGAUGAAAAACUUGAGAUAUUUCAUAAAUCGUAACGCACGCUUCUCCGAAAGUCCUAAUUAUCUUUCUAACGAGUUAAGAGUGCUUAAUUGGGUGAAAUAUCCUUCACAAUCGUUGCCAUAUAAUUUCCAUGGAAGGAAGCUGGUUGAUCUUAGAAUAAGUGAUAGCCUCUUGAAGGAAUUGGGAGUGGGAUUCCAGAAUUUCCAGAACUUGGCCAGGAUGGACUUCUCUUGUUGUGAAUUUCUGACAAAAAUCCCCGAUCUUUCUCGGAUUCCAAAUUUAGAGUGGUUGGAUGUUGCUGAUUGCACUAAGCUUACCAGUUUGCCAACAAAGCUCAGGUUUAGGUAUCUUAAAUGCCUCCGGGUUGACGGUUGCUUAAGCCUUCAAAAUUUUCCAGAAAUCGAAUUUGAAAGGGAAUGUUUAAGGAAUCUUAGUUUAGCAAACACCGAUAUAAAAGAAUUCCCUUUGUCCAUUGGGCACCUCUCUGGGAUUGAAGUAUUAAAUCUAAGAGGUUGCAAAAAUCUUCUGCAUCUCCCCACUGGAAUUCUUCGAUUUCAACGUCUGAAGGGUCUUCGUCUAGGUGGCUGUUCAAAAGUUGUUUUUAUUUCAAAUAUCUUGAAGGAUGAUUGUUGCUCAAUAGACCUUCCGGCACUGGAAUGGUUGGAUCUUGAAAUUGUCACAUGCCAGACCCUGAUAUCCUGAUGAGACUCAAUCGCUAUUUUACUCUGCGGUAUUUAAUUCUAUCAGGGAGUGAUAUUAUUAGGCUUCCAGAAAGCAUGACCAUGUUUUUUGACUUGACGUACCUUGAGUUGAUAGAUUGCAAGAAACUUCAAGAAAUUCCUGCAUUGCCCCCAAAUAUACAAAUCAUAGAUAUAACUGGAUGCAUGUCAUUGGAAAGAUUUCCAGAUGGAUUAAAAGUACCGCACCUCUUUACAAGUCAAACGCGAGACCAACGAUGGAUUGCCUCGUCCUUAUGCCUCAAAAUUCCUAUGAAUAUAGAGGGGUUUUGGGAAUGCUUCAAAAACCAUUCAGGUAGCAUUAUAUUUCCAGGGAAUAGGAUUCCAGAAUGGUUUAACCAUACGAAGCAAAAUUCCAAAAAAUGGAUUCCAGACCGAUUCGAUGAUCUUGAGCUGUUUUCAGCAAAUAUGAAUCAAGAUUGCAGCUAUUUUAAGCGGACUCUAGAGAAUAGUUCCUGUCGAGUAAAAAUAAAUGGGCUUAAAACUUGGGAAAAUAUAAGAGGAGUUGCUAUAUGUGUCGUUCUCAAACCCAUUUCGAAGAUCUACCCCCAAAAAGGUACUACUCUUAUGGUCACAACCAGAAGGGAUGUUUUCCCUUAUAUUGAGUUUUUGUCGCAACAUCAUGUCGAUUUAAGGGGUUCAGAUGCUCAUGUAUGGCUGAAUUACACCAUUUUAGAUGAUCGUAUGAACCCAUUAAAUCUAGAAUUUGAAGUUGGUAGUGGACAUAAACCAGUGUUCUUCAAAAGUUGCGGAGUCCAUUUGAUAUUCAAGAAUGAAAAGGAAGGGGAAGAUCAUCUAGGUUUUUUGCAUUUAAUGGAUGGUAUUGGAGGUUCGAAGAGGAGGCGUGUCGAUGAUGACCGCUACUUGGAAUCCACUUCGUGCCCACAACCGAAUAGGGGUUUCUCAACCUUGGCCAUCAAUUUUGAAUUUCGAGGAUACUCU